AGAGUUUGAUCAUGGCUCAGGACGAACGCUGGCGGCGUGCCUAAUACACUGCAAGUAGAACGCUGAAGACUGGUGCUUGCACUAGUCAGAUGAGUUGCGAACGGGUGAGUAACGCGUAGGUAACCUACCUCAUAGCGGGGGAUAACUAUUGGAAACGAUAGCUAAUACCGCAUGACAAUUAAGUACUCAUGUACUAAAUUUAAAAGGAGCAAUUGCUUCACUAUGAGAUGGACCUGCGUUGUAUUAGCUAGUUGGUGAGGUAACGGCUCACCAAGGCCACGAUACAUAGCCGACCUGAGAGGGUGAUCGGCCACACUGGGACUGAGACACGGCCCAGACUCCUACGGGAGGCAGCAGUAGGGAAUCUUCGGCAAUGGGGGCAACCCUGACCGAGCAACGCCGCGUGAGUGAAGAAGGUUUUCGGAUCGUAAAGCUCUGUUGUUAGAGAAGAACGGUAAUGGGAGUGGAAAAUCCAUUACGUGACGGUAACUAACCAGAAAGGGACGGCUAACUACGUGCCAGCAGCCGCGGUAAUACGUAGGUCUCGAGCGUUGUCCGGAUUUAUUGGGCGUAAAGCGAGCGCAGGCGGUUAUUUAAGUCUGAAGUUAAAGGCCGUGGCUCAACCAUGGUUCGCUUUGGAAACUGGAUAACUUGAGUGCAGAAGGGGAGAGUGGAAUUCCAUGUGUAGCGGUGAAAUGCGUAGAUAUAUGGAGGAACACCGGUGGCGAAAGCGGCUCUCUGGUCUGUAACUGACGCUGAGGCUCGAAAGCGUGGGGAGCAAACAGGAUUAGAUACCCUGGUAGUCCACGCCGUAAACGAUGAGUGCUAGGUGUUAGGCCCUUUCCGGGGCUUAGUGCCGCAGCU
rnacentral:rRNA from 1 species